GAUGAAGAACGUAGCGAAAUGCGAUAGGUAAUGUGAAUUGCAGAAUUCAGUGAAUCAUCGAAUCUUUGAACGCACAUUGCGCCCCUUGGUAUUCCGAGGGGCAUGCCUGUUCGAGCGUCAUUAUAACCCCUCAAGCUCAGCUUGGUGUUGGGGCCUGCUGCACUGGCAGCCCUUAAAAUCAGUGGCGGCGCCAUCUGGCUCUAAGCGUAGUAAUUCUUCUCGCUAUGGAGUCCUGGUGGAUGCUUGCCAUCAACCCCCAAUUUUUCUAUGGUUGACCUCGGAUCAGGUAGGGAUACCCGCUGAACUUAAGCAUAUCAAUAAGCGGAGGA
rnacentral:misc_RNA from 1 species